ACUCAAAUGAAUUGACGGGGACCCGCACAAGCAGCGGAGCAUGUGGUUUAAUUCGAAGCAACGCGAAGAACCUUACCAAGACUUGACAUUAUGCGACAAAUAUGGAAACAUAUUCUCCUUCGGGCGCAUGGACAGGUGGUGCAUGGUUGUCGUCAGCUCGUGUCGUGAGAUGUUCGGUUAAGUCCGGCAACGAGCGCAACCCCUAUUGACAGUUGCCAAUAUUAAGUUAGGAACUCUGUCGAGACUGCCGUGGACAACACGGAGGAAGGUGGGGACGACGUCAAAUCAUCAUGCCCCUUACGUCUUGGGCUACACACGUGCUACAAUGGGCGCUACAAAGAGUUACGAGCUAGUAAUAGUGAGUUAAUCUCAAAAAAGCGUUCUCAGUUCGGAUUGAGGGCUGCAACCCGCCCUCAUGAAGUCGGAGUUGCUAGUAAUCCCGGAUCAGAAUGCCGGGGUGAAUGCGUUCCCGGGUCUUGUACACACCGCCCGU
rnacentral:rRNA from 1 species